GGGUCAGUAGGUUGGUCGUGCCACCGGUACGUACUGGUCUCACUGAUUCCUCCUUCCUGAAGAACCGUAAUGCCAUUAAUUUGGUGUUGCGGGGAAACAGGACUGUUACUUUGAAAAAAUUAGAGUGUUUGAAGCAAGCUAACGCUUGAAUACAUUAGCAUGGAAUAAUGAAAUAGGACGAUCGAUCCUAUUUUGUUGGUUUCUAGGAUUGACGUA
rnacentral:rRNA from 1 species